rnacentral:rRNA from 1 species
GACGAACGCUGGCGGCGUGCUUAACACAUGCAAGUCGAACGGAAAGGCCCUGCUUUUGUGGGGUGCUCGAGUGGCGAACGGGUGAGUAACACGUGAGUAACCUGCCCUUGACUUUGGGAUAACUUCAGGUAACUGGGGCUAAUACCGGAUAGGAGCUCCUGCUGCAUGGUGGGGGUUGGAAAGUUUCGGCGGUUGGGGAUGGACUCGCGGCUUAUCAGCUUGUUGGUGGGGUAGUGGCUUACCAAGGCUUUGACGGGUAGCCGGCCUGAGAGGGUGACCGGCCACAUUGGGACUGAGAUACGGCCCAGACUCCUACGGGAGGCAGCAGUGGGGAAUAUUACACAAUGGGCGGAAGCCUGAUGCAGCAACGCCGCGUGCGGGAUGACGGCCUUCGGGUUGUAAACCGCUUUCGCCUGUGACGAAGCGUGAGUGACGGUAAUGGGUAAAGAAGCACCGGCUAACUACGUG